rnacentral:lncRNA from 13 species
ACUUUGGCUUAAGCUUAAAAGCCUACUGUGUUUUUAAAAUGUUCAAGACAGUCGGUGAAGGUGUUGGACUGAAUUCCAAUUCUUACAUUCCAUUACUUUUGUGAUCUGUAUUCCUGGUUUCCAUGAUCCAAGUAGGCAAGACAGGGUUUUAUUUGCGUUCAUCUGGACAAUGUGUGUGCUUUAAAAUUUCCAUACUUCGACCACUGCUUGUGAACUGUGAAGUGUCUGGAAGCUCAAACAGUACCUGCAUCUACAGAAGAGCUGUGCUUCUAGCUGGAAAUGAAGAAAAGCUUCCAGUAAAGAUCAGAGAGUCUGCUUUCAACUUAUCGUCCUCACCUUAUUUCAUCUUCUGCCUUAGCUGCGCUAAUUAUGAGCUUUAUCAAGGACAGAUGUUUACUCCUCCCUGGGUGAAAGAUAAAGAGAAUCUGGCCCCUGAGUGAUUAGGAGACCUGGACAACCACCAGUUAAUGGAGAAUCUGGGACAUUAAACUUAUUUCCUGUGGCCUGUAACCCAGUGUGAAAUCAUACCAGGCAGCAUAUACAAAGGUUUCCAUAAAACAAUGUGAAAAUGCACCAACGUCAACUGUUCCAUUUCUUAUUUGAUGAAGCAAGAAUUAUGCAGCAUGAGCAUCUGUGGAUUCCCCAUCACCACCAUCGGAUCUGCCUGGGUGGGCUCUACCUGUCCUUUCCGACUAGCAUGAAAGAAUGGCAGGAUUCUGCAUAAACCAAAUCUUAUGAUAAACAGACAAAGUAAAGGGCAGAAGAAGUGGGUAACUCAGAAGUCUAAUGUGAGAAGGAGAUAGGGUGGAAAUGCUGUGUGUGCUAUAGCAGAGUGUGAAGUGGCCCACGGAACAAGCUGAGCUGGGAAGGAGAGGUGAGAUGGGAGUAGGGUGGGAUGAAAAGAAAGAGGUGGCAUUAAUGACAUUUUUUUUUUCUUUCCAGCCCUAGGAGAAUUAGCUAAAUAAUAGGAAGAUCAAGGAAAAGUUAAUAAUGAGUUUUGAGCUUUCAAGGACUCCUUAAUUUGACUCCAUAAAAUACCUGAGGACAGCACAAGAAAAGGCCAGAAUGUGGGCUUAGUGUGUGUUUCUUUAACUGUAAGACUGCUCCAGGACUGGCUUACAUGAGUCACUGCUCUAUGAGCCCCUCACCGUCCCUUCCCCC